UAGGGUCUCUCUUGGGCCUGGAACUCACCAAGUAGACUAGGUUCCCUAGCUGCUGCUCUAACUCUGGGAUAACAAGAAUGCACAUCAUAUGUGGAUUCUUUUUAGAGGACCUGGGUUUGCUUCUUAGACCUGUGCAGUAGCUUGCAACUCCCUGCAACUUCGCUUCCCGAGUUUCUGACUCUCUUCACCAGCAAGGAGGUUUGGGAAAGGGCCGUGUGGCUGAGCUCCGAGCCGGACAGCAUUUGACCCAUGUGAACGCUACAGCAGAGGACGUUCCUAAUCAGACAGGAUGACUGCUCUGCACACGACAGUAAGCUGCUCUCCGUUUCCAGACUGCUUGAUGCUUGCUCGGAGUGCUCAAGGAGAGAAGGACUUGGGACAGGGGUAGAGGA